CGCGCAGGCGGUUUGGUAAGUCAGAUGUGAAAGCCCACGGCUUAACCGUGGAAGUGCAUUUGAAACUGCCAGACUUGAGUAUCAGAGGGGAAAGUGGAAUUCCCGGUGUAGAGGUGAAAUUCGUAGAUAUCGGGAGGAAUACCGGUGGCGAAGGCGACUUUCUGGCUGAAUACUGACGCUGAGGCGCGAAAGCGUGGGGAGCAAACA
rnacentral:rRNA from 1 species